rnacentral:piRNA from 1 species
UGUGUCAGGCAGACAAAUGAAAGAUGCAUUCU